AUGAUGAAAUUUUACACUGUGACCACGCUUUUGACUACUGGGGGAAAGGCACAAUGGUCACGGUUACAUCAGCCGCUUCAACUGCACCCACUGUGUUUCCUCUGGUACCAUGUGGCACUGAGAGCGGAGAUAUGGUCACUCUUGGCUGCCUUGCCACUGGCUUUAACCCUCCUGCGGUGACUUUCUCGUGGACAAAAGGCAGCACUGCCUUGACAGACUUCAUCCAGUACCCUGCAGUACAGAAAGGCAAUGUUUAUACUGGAGUCAGUCAAGUCCGAGUGAGGAAACAGGACUGGAAUCCACAACAGAAUUUCCAAUGUGUUGUGACUCACGCUGCUGGGAAUGCACAGGCUGAUGUCAGACCAACACCGGUGUUUAAGCAGAAUCCAACUCUUAAAGUGUUUUCCUCCUCUUCUGAUGAGGAUGAUACCUAUACUGCCUCCUGCUUUGCCAAAGAGUUUGCACCAAAGAAACAUGGCAUAAAAUGGCUGAAAAACGGAGCAGAUAUCACCAGCAAAAUAGAGCUGACCGAAACGGUUUCUGACUCAAAAAAUGCGGCUGGAAAAACACUGUACCAUGCAACAAGUUUUCUCACAGUAAAUUCCAGUGACCUGAAUGAUAAGACUACAUUUACAUGUCUGUUUACUGGAGGAGUAGAUGGAUCUUUGAAUAAAACUGUGCCUUACAAAGUAAAACCAACAUGUCCUGAUUGUGUUACAUCUAAUGUGAAAGUAGAAAUCACUGGCCCCGCAACUGAGGACAUGCUUUUCCAUAAAAAAGGAACUCUAACAUGUCGAGUCACAGUACAAAAAGAUGAACCUCAAAUAAUAUGGGAGGAUGAGAAAGAAGAUGUGAUAGCAAGUAAACCAAUGAUUAAAGAAAAUGGGGAGACAUACAUGUCUAAACUUGACAUCACCUAUGACGAAUGGAGCAGGGGGGUAAAGCGCUAUUGUGUUGUUCACCACUCAGAUUUACUCACACCUUCGAGGGAACCUUAUGAAAGGGAAUUCGGAGGAAACCCUCAGCGUCCGUCAGUGUUUAUGCUCCCUCCUUUAGAACAAACUAACAAAGAAGAGGUGACCCUGACUUGCUUUGUGAAAGACUUCCUCCCUAAGGAAGUUUUUGUGUCUUGGCUUGUGGAUGACGAGGAAGCAGACUCAAGUAGUUAUGCUUUUAAUACCACAGAACCCAUUGAAAACAAUGGAUUCUAUUCUGCGUAUGGCCAGUUGUUUGUCAGCCUUCACGAGUGGAAAAACAAUGCUGUCUAUAGCUGUGUAGUGUACCACGAAUCUGUGGUUAACACAACUAGAGCUAUUGUCAGGUCCAUUGGGUACAGAACAUUUGACAAAAACCGCAUUGACCUCAACAUGAACAUCAACCAAGACUCAAAGUGCUCGGCCCAGUAGAUGUUUCUCAUGUCUCUGUCUUCUGCUGUUUGUUGUUUAAUGUCUGUUGCUUGUGAUAUGACAUUGUGUUUGUGUGUUUCAAUGCAGAUUCAAAAUAAAAAAAAAAAAACA